AUACAUAUAGUUUUUGUAUUUCAGACUCUGAUAUUUUUUCUGUAACAUUUCCUUAUGAAGCCUGCUUCAGACAAAUAUGUAAAUUUUAAAAAAGUAAAGUGUUUGUAUAACCUUGUAGUUUGAAAAUAAUCAAAGUGAUAUGAGAUACAUGCUGAGUACCCAGAUGGAUAAUAUUUUGUUUUUCUUUGUGAACGUCUUUUGUCUUAAAGCUGGUGUGAAAAUCUAGAAGAGGGCCCCACAUGAUUGAUCACCACAAGCAUCAGAAGGAAAUGAUUCACCACAACACUGUAACUGAAACUGCUUCAACACCUGAUUGCAAACUUCACACUAGGGGACUAAUUAACUGCUGUACCUGCUCAGAGAUUGCUGUAACGAACAGGACCCCUCAUCUAGUAUAAUUCCAGCUGUGAAUACCCACUGCUCUGAGUCAUUAUUAUCAGUAGAAAGGUACACUGCAUUCAGAAGUGAAUGGAGAACUUUUUUCUUUUUUUUAACAAUAAAAAGACAGUAAAUUAUAAUUCCAUCAAAACAUUGUUUCAAGAAAAAUUAAGUGCAACAGGACUUCAAUAGAUACUUAAAGAUAAGUAUACAGAUUUUUUUUGUCUCACGAUAGGACUGUUUUCAGCUUCAUGGUUUUCCUGCUUUUUCCAUGAACUGCAUUUCAGGUACAAUAUUAACAUUUGUGAAAGCUUUUCAGAAUUGGCAAUAUUAGGAACAUAAGGGUCAUAUUGUCUGAAUUUAGAUAUAAAACAGUACAUGAAAUAUCAUCCAGCUACCCAUGCAUUGUGCUCAUAACUAAGCCAAUGUCUCAGCAGAUUUAUCAUCAGAAAUACAAGCCUGCAGUCUGCAAACAGAGAUAAAGUAUUCCUAGCGAAGCACUUAUACGUAGUGACUAGAAAUAAUGGAAGAAUAGCUGGCUGUGGGUUUUUUUUCAGGGGAAAAAAAAAAAGACAAAUACUAUUAAAUUAUUUCUUUAGCCUGACAAUAGUUACAUGGCAGCAAAUUAAUCUACUAAAAUACAGGUUUUAUAACCAGAGUCCAGCAUUAUGCUGUACUUUUUCACUACAUGGACAACGUCAGAUGUUUUGACAAAAUCUUUCUUCCCUUUCCCCUUUUCUCCCGUCUCCUCUGCUCAAUUUAAAUCAAAAAAUAUUUUUGAAUACUGUGUCAAGCAAUUAAAUAAAAAGAAGUCCUACAGUUUGGCAACAGCGUAGAACAAUUUGGCAAUAGCAGAGAGCAAUUUAUCCUUUGUUCCGUUUUUCUAAAUGAUUCCAGUAGUUUGUCUUGAUGAGAGGAAGGAAUUGGUGAGCUCUUCAGGAAAGAAACACAAGAACCUGUGAGUGCAGCGUCACAGUGCCAUCACUUUGAUGCUUCUAAAACUAACUGUGCACAACUCUCCAUUAAAGUCACCUGUGUCACCAUGAGCAAAGUUCAUUAAGCAGCUGUAAUAACAGUGUUUUGCCAAGAAGACAAAGUAUACAUUUGAGGUGGGACUGCUCCAAAUUUUACUGGCAAUCAAGCUCAAGAUUUUGGGUCACACUUUCCAGUUAUCUGUAAUCAGAGCAAGGAGGAAACGUCUCCUAAGAUACCCUGACCGUUCAAACACAGCCAGAAGCUCAGUUUUGAGCUGAAAACAACAGCUCUGGAGAGAGAGACUGAAUCACCAUAUCCCCCCAGCUCACCUCCAUGGGAUUCACUCAUCGCCACUACCACUGAGGGCUCUCAGGUGUAGAGACUCAUGCAGCUGGAGCCACUAAAUUAAUAGGCCAGUCUCAUCAAUAGGCAACAAUUUUCAAUCAGAAUUAAUCUGUGUUGGAUUCACAUGCAAUUGGUUUUCACUAGUAGGCUCUGUGGCUGUUAUUGCAUAAACAUUAUGACUCAGAUUGAACAAAAUAAAAUCAGACACACACCAAAUGCAAUAGCUUAGUGGUUAAUAAAAUUAUGAAGAUAGGACGCUUGGAGAAAAGUUUUCUGACAAGGUCAUAUGAUCAUUUUGCAGAAUGUGUUUUUCCCUUUUUUUUAUUUGGCUGAAAAACACCCACUAUUUUGAAUAAUGUGCAGUUACUAGAAAAAAAAUAAUUAGUGAGGAUAUGCAAAGUUACUGAUUAUUAGUCUUCCUUACAAUAAAUUCUAACUCGUGGAAAAAUAUGCACAAGUUCAUAGAAACAUACAAAAAACUACUCACUGCUGUGAUUUGGCCCCUGCGGAGAUUGCAGGGGUAAGGGCACAGGUUAAACAUGGCAUCAGUGUCACGAAUGGGUUUCAGCGCCUGUUUCACUGCAAGUUUUUAAUGGACUUGCUGUAAUUUGAACAUCCCCAAAUCAGCAGAUAAAAUCUAUGGCUUCUGGCAGAAGAGCAGUAUGGAAUAGGUUUUUGUGUGUGUGGAGCUGAGAACACCGAAUCUCUUACCUGGGAAGCAGAGCGAGUCAUGUCAAUAACUAUCGGAGGAACAGGUCCAUAAACCAGAACAGCUGCAAGAAGCACUAUGAUCCGCCUGGGAAGGGGCUGGGUGACCAGCAAGGCAGAGACCAGCACGCACAGCACGAACCUGGGCAAUGCCAAGAGGACCAGGCUGGGGCUGCACGUGGCCUACAAGCAAGCAAGGGGGAUACUGAUAACAUGCUAAAACUUUAUACCCAGGUGAGGGGGAAGAUUUGGCCUGCAGAACAGAAGCAGGCUGCUGGAGAGAAAGUGGUGUGUGUCUUUUCAUCUCGCCACCUUCCUCAAAAAGCUCCGGUGAUGCCGUCAGGCACCACCCAGCUUCCUGCUGGCAGCACUGGCCAUCUCCUGCUCUCCUGGCUCCUUCUGCAGGUUUACAGCAGCAGCUGAUAUACCUCCUGCAAGCACAAUGCCCCAUCAUCAAACAGAAACACCUCUGGACUCUUUAUUCAGUCCAUCAGAUCAUUCUUCUCACCUGUGGUCCAUUCCCCGCUGUGCCAGCCACAUUUAACGCUUCCCCCGCAGCCGGCUCUCUAGGACACAUGAUUUUAUGUUAACCGACAGGCAUCACCACAAAGAGCCUUUUCUCAAAGAGCCUUUUCUCGGUUUACACAGGCAUUUUUCAUGACAAAGCCACACUUCACACUUUGCAGAUAUUGGGCUAACUCUUCAACUCCUCCCUUGCUUUUUACACCCAGUCAAACUCUGCGCAAAGAUUAAAUUAAACGUGAGCUAACUUAAUGAGUUUUUAAAAAACUGUACAGUUAAUUUUUUAUCGAGGGAAGUGUAGCCACUUCGGGAGUCAAAUGCAACAGCUCGUAAAUAACAUGCAAAAAUUUAAUGCAAUAGCAGAGGGAAUUUUAGGUGACUGCAAUGUAAUUUGUCAGUUGUGGACUAAUGGAGAUUGCAUUGUAACACGCUUUUGCUUUUCUGCCUGGGUUUGAAUGAGCAUCUUUGUUUUCCAAGCAUCCUCCUGUCUAAAAUUAUUGUAUGCUGUAACGGAGGGUGAUCACAGGAAAAUACAAAAGAAAAAAUAUGAAAAUAGAAACCACGAAAGGACACGACUCUGUAUGAAAAUGCUGUUCCAAAUAUACACAGGCAAAAUAAAGAAAGAUUGAACAAAAUUUCAAAAAGAGGAUGGAGCAAACAGAUGUAAAAUUAUUUGUGCUGCUUAGCUGAUAGGUAUGCCAGGGUCAAUAAUUUUUAUUGGUGAUUUAUGAAUAAGUGAAUAAAGAAUUAUUUUAUCAGUCCAUUUCUCAUAUGAAUAUUUCAUUGGUACUAAUGUUUAACUGUGAUCACGGUGACUUAAAUGCUCAACAUUUCCCAAAUCAGAAGAAAAGCAUUUCCGGAAAGAAUAGGAGGAAUUAGUAUUCCUUAUUCAUUUUUGAGCAAACUAUCAGCAUCAGAUAUAAUUUAGCCCAAAAUGAGAAAAUAAAUCAGUGGCAUAGUUAGAAAUAAUUCCCCUGCUGGAGAGAUGCCUAUAAUAGGCUAUAUACAUACUGUCCAGUUAUGUUUCCACAUUCUAAUUAUGCAUGCUUCUUAGUCAUAGCAUUAAUAAUACGCAUUAAUACUCUACACAUGUAUAUGACUUCCACCCAAGAAUUUCAGAGCACUUUUAUAAGGAUUCAUUUGUUAAGCAUUACAAGUCAACUUCGUAUAUGCAGAAACUGAAGAUGCAAAGGACUGAUGAAAUUGAGUCAUACGUAAAUGCAGUGGCUGAGCUAGUAAUGUAGCCAUGUCUCCUAAUUCUCAGCACAAGUUUUCCUAUAAAAUUUUAAAUAUAUUAUACAACUUCUUUUUAAUAUUUUCAUUGCAGAACUGUUUGUACGUUUCUUUAUUUUAUAAAUAAUAAUUCAAGGACAACAGAAGUGGUGUUUUGCAUAGUGUGUCAACUCUAGCAACAUCACUAAGCCUUACAGUAAUUGGUUUUGGUUUUUUUUAAGAUUCAGUUCUGGGAGGCAAAAACAUUCUUAUGUGUUUCCAUGAGAACUGUAAGUACUUUCUCAAAGUUAUUCCUUUAUUGCUUUUAGUCUUUCUGAAUGAAAACAAAAACUUGAAAAUAUGAACUGAGAAUACAUAAAGUCUCAAAAAUCACAAACAAAUAAAAUGAAAACUAGUUUUAAAACUUAAGGCUUUGGAAAGUCAAUCUUAUGACUUUGUUUCUAACGCUGUUGUUGGGCGACAGUCUUGGUAGUAUUGUACAAGUAGUGCAGAUAGGCGGUAACUUUUUUAAAUCUCGCCACUUGUGUUUUGUCAGUUACAGAGUCUGCAGGUGUGUACAUUUGAACAGAGAAACUCAUCUCCCUGAAGCUCAUGUAUCAAGAUGAGAGUGCGUAACCAAAGAUGGAGCCCUUAGAACAGGCAGACACAAAAUUGCAAAGGGUUUUGAUUUGAGGUAUCAAGUGUUAUACAUAUUUUUUUACUGUCUGAAUAUAAUUAUCCACUGGAAAACUGAUUUAAAAAA